rnacentral:rRNA from 1 species
AGGUAAAGGCUCACCAAGGCGACGAUCCGUAGCUGGUCUGAGAGGACGACCAGCCACACUGGAACUGAGACACGGUCCAGACUCCUACGGGAGGCAGCAGUGGGGAAUUUUGGACAAUGGGGGCAACCCUGAUCCAGCCAUUCCGCGUGAGUGAAGAAGGCCUUCGGGUUGUAAAGCUCUUUCGGCAGGAACGAAACGGUGGCCCCUAAUACGGGUUACUAAUGACGGUACCUGAAGAAGAAGCACCGGCUAACUACGUGCCAGCAGCCGCGGUAAUACGUAGGGUGCGAGCGUUAAUCGGAAUUACUGGGCGUAAAGCGUGCGCAGGCGGUUAUGUAAGACAGGUGUGAAAUCCCCGGGCUUAACCUGGGAACUGCGCUUGUGACUGCAUAACUCGAGUGUGGCAGAGGGGGGUGGAAUUCCACGUGUAGCAGUGAAAUGCGUAGGGAUGUGGAGGAACACCGAUGGCGAAGGCAGCCCCCUGGGUCAACACUGACGCUCAUGCACGAAAGCGUGGGGAGCAAACAGGAUUAGAUACCCUGGUAGUCCACGCCCUAAACGAUGCGAACUAGGUGUUGGGGAAGGAGACUUUCUUAGUACCGCAGCUAACGCGUGAAGUUCGCCGCCUGGGGAGUACGGUCGCAAGAUUAAAACUCAAAGGAAUUGACGGGGACCCGCACAAGCGGUGGAUGAUGUGGAUUAAUUCGAUGCAACGCGAAAAACCUUACCUACCCUUGACAUGUCAGGAAGUCUGCUGAGAGGUGGAUGUGCUCGAAAGAGAACCUGAACACAGGUGCUGCAUGGCUGUCGUCAGCUCGUGUCGUGAGAUGUUGGGUUAAGUCCCGCAACGAGCGCAACCCUUGUCAUUAAUUGCCAUCAUUCAGUUGGGCACUUUAAUGAGACUGCCGGUGACAAACCGGAGGAAGGUGGGGAUGACGUCAAGUCCUCAUGGCCCUUAUGGGUAGGGCUUCACACGUCAUACAAUGGUCGGUACAGAGGGUCGCCAACCCGCGAGGGGGAGCCAAUCCCACAAAGCCGAUCGUAGUCCGGAUCGCAGUCUGCAACUCGACUGCGUGAAGUCGGAAUCGCUAGUAAUCGUGGAUCAGCAUGUCACGGUGAAUACGUUCCCGGGUCUUGUACACACCGCCCGUCACACCAUGGGAGUGGGUUCCACCAGAAGUAGGUAGUCUAACCGCAAGGAGGGCGCUUACCACGGUGGGAUUCAUGACUGGGGUGAAGUCGAAACAAGGUA